UACGUAGGGGGCUAGCGUUGUCCGGAAUCAUUGGGCGUAAAGCGCGUGUAGGCGGUCCGGUAAGUCCGCUGUGAAAGUCGAGGGCUCAACCCUCGAAUGCCGGUGGAUACUGUCGGGCUUGAGUACGGGAGAGGCGAGUGGAAUUCCUGGUGUAGCGGUGAAAUGCGCAGAUAUCAGGAGGAACACCGAUUGCGAAGGCAGCUCGCUGGGACGUCACUGACGCUGAGACGCGAAAGCGUGGGGAGCAAACAGG
rnacentral:rRNA from 1 species